rnacentral:rRNA from 1 species
UUGGAGGGCAAGUCUGGUGCCAGCAGCCGCGGUAAUUCCAGCUCCAAUAGCGUAUAUUAAAGUUGUUGCAGUUAAAAAGCUCGUAGUUGAAUUUCGGGAUCAAUUAAUCGGUCGUGCCUCUGGUACGUACUGGUUUUAUUGGUUCCUCCCUUCUGACGAAACACGAUGUCAUUAAUUUGGUGUCGUGGAGAAUCAGGACUGUUACCUUGAAAAAAUUAGAGUGUUUAUAGCAGGCUAACGCUUGUAUACAUUAGCAUGGAAUAAUGAAAUAGGACGUUCGACCCUAUUUUGUUGGUUUCUAGGAUCGACGUAAUGAUUAAUAGGGAUAGUUGGGGGCAUUAGUAUUCAAUUGUCAGAGGUGAAAUUCUUGGAUUUAUUGAAGACUAACUACUGCGAAAGCAUUUGCCAAGGAUGUUUUCAUUAAUCAAGAACGAAAGUUAGGGGAUCGAAGACGAUCAGAUACCGUCGUAGUCUUAWCCAUAAACUAUGCCGACUAGGGAUCGGAUGAUGUUAAUUUUUUAAUGACUCAUUCGGCGCCUUACGGGAAAC